rnacentral:rRNA from 1 species
ACGAAGGGUGCAAGCGUUACUCGGAAUUACUGGGCGUAAAGGGUGCGUAGGUGGUUUUUUAAGUCUGCUGUGAAAUCCCCGGGCUCAACCUGGGAAUGGCAGUGGAUACUGGAAAGCUGGAGUGCGGUAGAGGGUAGUGGAAUUCCCGGUGUAGCAGUGAAAUGCGUAGAGAUGUGGAGGAACACCGAUGGCGAAGGCAGCCCCCUGGGUUAACACUGACGCUCAGGCACGAAAGCGUGGGGAGCAAACAGGA